AAAAAACAAGCAAAAAAAAAAACAGGGUUUUGGAUAUAAAUGGAUAGAAAUCUUCUUGCAGUACAGAGCUGCUCACAAGAUUCACAAGCGAAAUAGCUGCAUCAUCGUUGACAAAUGGUUGAAGUAAUUUGCAAGUUUUCUACUGUAGAUGAGUCUGGCGUAGCCACAGCUGAAGCCCCCCUUCCACUCAUCCUGGACGACGGAGUGGCUUACGAGGUCCGAGAAAUCCCGGAUUCCCGGCGCCAUGGUGGCCAACUUGAGUACCUAGUGGACUGGGAAGGUUAUGGUCCUGAGGAAUGUUCCUGGGUUCCACGCAACGACAUACUCGACCCG
ensembl:lncRNA